rnacentral:tRNA from 3 species
GGAAAAGUGUCCGAGCGGUCGAAGGAGCACGCCUGGAAAGUGUGUAUACCUCAAAAGGGUAUCGCGGGUUCGAAUCCCGCCUUUUCCGCCA